rnacentral:rRNA from 1 species
UACAGAGGGUGCGAGCGUUGUCCGGAAUCACUGGGCGUAAAGGGCGCGUAGGCGGCUUGAUAAGGUUGCGGUGAAAGCCCGGGGCUCAAUCCCGGGUCGGCCGUGGCAACUGUCGAGCUGGAGCACUGUAGAGGCAGGUGGAAUUCCGGGUGUAGCGGUGGAAUGCGUAGAGAUCCGGAAGAACACCAGUGGCGAAGGCGGGACUCUGGGCCGAUACUGACGCUGAGGAGCGAAAGCGUGGGGAGCAAACAGG